rnacentral:rRNA from 1 species
AUUGAACGCUGGCGGAAUGCUUUACACAUGCAAGUCGAACGGCAGCACGGGGGCAACCCUGGUGGCGAGUGGCGAACGGGUGAGUAAUACAUCGGAACGUGCCCAGUCGUGGGGGAUAACGUAGCGAAAGUUACGCUAAUACAGCAUACGAUCUACGGAUGAAAGCGGGGGACCGUAAGGCCUCGCGCGAUUGGAGCGGCCGAUGUCAGUUUAGGUAGUUGGUGAGGUAAAGGCUCACCAAGCCGACGAUCUGUAGCUGGUCUGAGAGGACGACAAGCCACACUGGGACUGAGACACGGCCCAGACUCCUACGGGAGGCAGCAGUGGGGAAGUUUGGACAAUGGGCGCAAGCCUGAUCCAGCCAUUCCGCGUGCAGGGCGAAGGCCUUCGGGUUGUAAACUGCUUUUGUACGGAACGAAAAGGCUCUGGUUAAUACCUGGGGCUCAUGACGGUACCGUAAGAAUAAGCACCGGCUAACUACGUGCCAGCAGCCGCAGUAA